rfam:Spinacia oleracea cultivar SynViroflay scaffold31524.con0003.1, whole genome shotgun sequence.
UAGAGAAAUUGCAAUGAUGAUUCAAAACUACCUAUUUUCUGAGAAACUUCAUUGUUUCUUUGAUCAAUAAUUACCAAUGGAUCCUUCCGAGUUUUUCU